AGCUUUAUGCAGUGGCAGUAUCAUAGCCAAUGAAUUGAUCUAAGGCAUGAUUAUUGCUAAUUCAAUGUAAACUUUGAACACCUAAAUAUGGGGAAUGGUACAUUUAGAACUCAAAACCUAGA
rnacentral:snRNA from 1 species